GAGACAGCCUAUAUUAUUUAGGGCUAACCCGUCUCUGUGGCAAAAGAGUGGGAAGAGCUCCGGGUAGAAGUGACAGACCUACCGAACCUGGUGAUAGCUGGUUGUCUGAGAAGUGGAUAGAAGUUCAGCCUCAUGCACCCCGAAUCAACACAUACAUUAUUAAGAUACUCUAGGGAAAUAUAUGAGAGUUAGUUAAAAGGGGUACAGCCCUUUUAACAAAGGAUACAACCUUUACAGGAGGAUAAAGAUCAUAACAUAUAAAACAUACUGUUUUAGUGGGCCUAAAAGCAGCCACCUAAAUAGAAAGCGUUAAAGCUCAGACAGAAAGAAGUUUAUUAUACCGAUAAAAAAUCUUAUUCCCCUAAUUAUAUCAGACUAACCCAUGCCUACAUGGAAGAGAUUAUGCUAGAAUGAGUAACAAGAAGACCUGCGCUUCUCCUUGCACAAGUGUAAACCAGAUCGGACAAACCACUGGAACUUAACGAACCCAACCCAAGAGGGCAAUGUGAGCAACAAAAACCUCAAGAAGAACUCACAAUCAUAAUAAUCGUUAACCCUACACUGGAGUGCCAUUUUAUAAAGGAAAGACUAAAAGAUAAGGAAGGAACUCGGCAAACACAAGCCUCGCCUGUUUACCAAAAACAUCGCCUCCUGCGACUAGAUUGAGUAUAGGAGGUCCAGCCUGCCCAGUGACUACGGGUUCAACGGCCGCGGUAUUUUGACCGUGCAAAGGUAGCGCAAUCACUUGUCUCUUAAAUAGAGACCUGUAUGAAUGGCUAGACG
rnacentral:rRNA from 1 species